rnacentral:rRNA from 1 species
UACGGGGGGGGCAAGCGUUGUUCGGAAUUACUGGGCGUAAAGGGCUCGUAGGCGGUCUGUCGCGUCGGAUGUGAAAACCCAGGGCUCAACCCUGGGCCUGCAUUCGAUACGGGCAGACUAGAGUUCGGUAGGGGAGACUGGAAUUCCUGGUGUAGCGGUGAAAUGCGCAGAUAUCAGGAGGAACACCGGUGGCGAAGGCGGCGACCUGGUCCUAUACUGACACUCAUACACGAAAGCGUGGGGAUCAAACAGG